rnacentral:rRNA from 1 species
GAUGAACGCUAGCUACAGGCUUAACACAUGCAAGUCGAGGGGAAACGAUAGAGAAAGCUUGCUUUUUCUAGGCGUCGACCGGCGCACGGGUGAGUAACGCGUAUCCAACCUGCCCACCACUUGGGGAUAACCUUGCGAAAGUAAGACUAAUACCCAAUGACGUCUCUAGAAGACAUCUGAAAGAGAUUAAAGAUUUAUCGGUGAUGGAUGGGGAUGCGUCUGAUUAGCUUGUUGGCGGGGUAACGGCCCACCAAGGCGACGAUCAGUAGGGGUUCUGAGAGGAAGGUCCCCCACAUUGGAACUGAGACACGGUCCAAACUCCUACGGGAGGCAGCAGUGAGGAAUAUUGGUCAAUGGACGAGAGUCUGAACCAGCCAAGUAGCGUGCAGGAUGACGGCCCUAUGGGUUGUAAACUGCUUUUAUAAGGGAAUAAAGUGAGUCUCGUGAGACUUUUUGCAUGUACCUUAUGAAUAAGGACCGGCUAAUUCCGUGCCAGCAG